GCCUCAACACGCACUACUGGUGUGCAGUCUGCCGUAUUGAAAACUCAUGUUGCCACCAGGGUGUGACAGAUGUAGUGCGCCAUAUAAAAAGCAAAGGCCACCAAGAUAAGCAACGAGCUCUCCUGUCCACAGCCACAAUAUCCCAAUAUGCAAUGGCCGUUCCAUCUGUUGGGGGUAUGUCUGCACAAGAGGUUAAGACAAGAAGGGCUGAGGUCAAAAUGACAGCUGGGUUGGUAGUUCACAACGUCCCCCUAGCCUUUGCGGACCACCUGGGGCCUCUCCUAAAAGAAUGUUUCGGAGAUUCGAAGACAGCGCAGGAGUACAGGUGUGCCAGGACUAGGUCAUCCUGCAUUACCAAUGAAGCACUCGCACCAUAUUUCACACAGGAGCUUGUGAAGGAGAUGAAAAAAGCCCCGUAUACCCUUGUUACGGAUGGGUCGAAUGACACUGGAGUGGAAAAGAUGAACCCGCUUACUGUCCGGGUCUUCAUGGGCAGCAAAGUU